AUACAGAGGGUGCGAGCGUUAAUCGGAUUUACUGGGCGUAAAGCGUGCGUAGGCGGCCAAUUAAGUCAAAUGUGAAAUCCCCGAGCUUAACUUGGGAAUUGCAUUCGAUACUGGUUAGCUAGAGUGUGGGAGAGGAUGGUAGAAUUCCAGGUGUAGCGGUGAAAUGCGUAGAGAUCUGGAGGAAUACCGAUGGCGAAGGCAGCCAUCUGGCCUAACACUGACGCUGAGGUGCGAAAGCAUGGGGAGCAAACAGGAGUAGAAACCCGUGUAGUCC
rnacentral:rRNA from 1 species